rnacentral:rRNA from 1 species
AGCGGCACGAGGGAGCUUGCUCCCGGAUGUUAGCGGCGGACGGGUGAGUAACACGUGGGUAACCUGCCUGUAAGACUGGGAUAACUCCGGGAAACCGGAGCUAAUACCGGAUAGUUCCUUGAACCGCAUGGUUCAAGGAUGAAAGACGGUUUCGGCUGUCACUUACAGAUGGACCCGCGGCGCAUUAGCUAGUUGGUGGGGUAAUGGCUCACCAAGGCGACGAUGCGUAGCCGACCUGAGAGGGUGAUCGGCCACACUGGGACUGAGACACGGCCCAGACUCCUACGGGAGGCAGCAGUAGGGAAUCUUCCGCAAUGGACGAAAGUCUGACGGAGCAACGCCGCGUGAGUGAUGAAGGUUUUCGGAUCGUAAAGCUCUGUUGUUAGGGAAGAACAAGUGCGAGAGUAACUGCUCGCACCUUGACGGUACCUAACCAGAAAGCCACGGCUAACUACGUGCCAGCAGCCGCGGUAAUACGUAGGUGGCAAGCGUUGUCCGGAAUUAUUGGGCGUAAAGGGCUCGCAGGCGGUUUCUUAAGUCUGAUGUGAAAGCCCCCGGCUCAACCGGGGAGGGUCAUUGGAAACUGGGAAACUUGAGUGCAGAAGAGGAGAGUGGAAUUCCACGUGUAGCGGUGAAAUGCGUAAAGAU